UAAUAAGUGUUUUAUAGGCACUUUUUAAAUCCAUAUCCACCUUGUGUGCAAUGUCAGUCGAUCUUCUUCAUGGAGAUCGACCAAACAUCAACCUUUAUCUUUUAACUCUUUGUCUGAAAAAUAUUAUGAAUAAACAAUUCAAAAUA
rnacentral:misc_RNA from 1 species